CGGGUGAGUAAUGUAUGGGGAUCUGCCUGAUGGCGGGGGAUAACUACUGGAAACGGUAGCUAAUACCGCAUAAUGUCUACGGACCAAAGCGGGGGACCUCCGGGCCUCGCGCCAUCAGAUGAACCCAUAUGGGAUUAGCUAGUAGGUGAGGUAACGGCUUACCUAGGCGACGAUCCCUAGCUGGUCUGAGAGGAUGACCAGCCACACUGGAACUGAGACACGGUCCAG
rnacentral:rRNA from 1 species